GAUGAUGUCGCAGCGGUAGUUAUCGGUUAUCAAGAGGGGUCUGAAAGUCUGAAAAGCAACGUCGUGUAAGUCCGCUGAAAGUCAAGCGAUGUUGGGGGAACAUAUCGCCUCCAUCUUCAGGGUUGAAUAUGCCGAGAAACAUACGAGCGUGAUGGCAGGUUACAGCGAAAACAUCGGCUGAAUUUCAAAGGACUGCACAGCGUUAUGUACUAGAAGAUACACCAGAAGAGGUACUGUCCAGCAUCAAGAUUGAGCCUGAUGACAGUGAACUGGAGUUACAGAUAGCCCUCAAGAAAGCACGGAGACUGAAGCUGCAGGAGGCUGUUACAGAAUCAAAGAACAGUAUAGAAAAGGUGGCAGAGUCAGUACUGGAGAGAAACUCAGAAGGAAACACAGAAGGUGGUUCCAUUGUGCUUAAUGCUACAGCAGAAUUCUGCUGAUUGUUGGGUGACAUCGUCACCUAUGGUCUGGCUGGCAACAGGGAUGAGGACGCUCAGGAACUUCUUGUGAUCUGCAGAUAAAUAGAUGAUGAAAAGUUUGGGCAUUGCGAGUGCUACAGUGGUCCGACCUCAGAUUUCAGAGAGGAGGAGGAGGGCUAUAAACCAGAUGUUAAAUUCGACUACACAGAUGAUGAUGGACAUCUGCUUAAUGCAAAGGAGACUUUCAGGUACCUGUCUCAUAAAUUUCAUGGAAAGGGACCUGGCAGAAAUAAAGCAGAGAAGCGAAUGAAGAAGAAUGAACAGGAAGGAGUGAGUAUCGGUCCAGACCUGGUCAUGAGCUGUUAUUUUUGAUGAGCUCAAGAGACACCCCACUUGGAACGCUUAGUGUCUUGCAGCAGCAACAGAAAGAAACAGUCUCUAUUCUUGGUCCUUACUGACAGUAAACAAAUAUGAGGCAACCAUCUUGAAAACAAAACUGCAAAUUCUUCGUGAAAUACGCUGGCACCAACUCUGAACUUUAGUGUGGACUUAUGUGUUUAUUGUUUGUUACUGUCUGGAAUAACAUCUCUAUUUUUAAGUAAGACACAGCUUGCAGCUGCUGAUAGUGCCUGUGUGUACUGGAAGGAAGGCCACAGAGUUCAUGUCACAUUCAAAUGAGUACAGAGGAUCUCCUGUGCCCACUGUUGGCACCUGUAAGCUGAGAAGUACAAUUUCUAGUCAGCAGUUGCUUGCUUAUAGGACCUGAGCCAGAUGAACUGCCUCUGCACUAAAUCAAACAUGAAGUAAUUAUAUAUUUGGCCUUUCUUGAUUGCAAUAGCAAUAUUUGUACACUCUCCAUCCCUGCUGCAUUCAACUCUGAAAAUUGCAACAAGCAACAGAAUCAGAAGAUGUACAGUCUAAUGCAAAUCAUUGUAAAGCACUACAGCUAUAUUACUGAAACAUUUGUAAUGGGUUAUAAAAGUAACUGUCACACUCGUAAUUGUAUAUAAGAUUUUUAACCACCGUCCGAUGUAAUUGAUAAAAGUUGUUUUAUAAUUUUUUAUCAUUUACAUGUUUUGGUUAAAACAGCCAUCUUAAGAAGGAUAUUAUUAAGACAUAUGGAAGCUACUAUUACCAUGUCAUAGAUAUAAAUGUUAUAUCUUUUAACUAAUACUAAGCGGCCUCCGUAGUCUAGAGG